GCGAGUCUGAAUAGGGCGCUUAGUCAGAUGCUGCAGACCCGAAACGAAGUGAUCUAUCCAUGAGCAAGUUGAAGCUAGUGUAAGAACUAGUGGAGGACUGAACCCAUAGGCGUUGAAAAGCCCCGGGAUGACUUGUGGAUAGGGGUGAAAGGCCAAUCAAACUUCGUGAUAGCUGGUUCUCUCCGAAAUAUAUUUAGGUAUAGCGUUGUGUCGUAAUAUAAGGGGGUAGAGCACUGAAUGGGCUAGGGCAUACACCAAUGUACCAAACCCUAUCAAACUCCGAAUACCUUAUAUGUAAUCACAGCAGUCAGGCGGCGAGUGAUAAAAUCCGUCGUCAAGAGGGAAACAACCCAGACUACCAGCUAAGGUCCCUAAAUCUUACUUAAGUGGAAAACGAUGUGAAGUUACUUAAACAACCAGGAGGUUGGCUUAGAAGCAGCCAUCCUUUAAAGAAAGCGUAAUAGCUCACUGGUCUAGUGAUUUUGCGCGGAAAAUAUAACGGGGCUAAAGUAAGUACCGAAGCUGUAGACUUGCGCACAACUUAGAUUAUUUAAGUUUAGAAUAUGAGAAACUAAGUUAUGUUUAGUUAUAUUUUUACUGAUUUUUAUAGAGUAAAGAUAGAAAUAAAACUUAGUAAAAUCAGUAAAAAUAUUCUUAGGCUAAAGUUAAGUAGUUUAAGUUGUGUGCAAGUGGUAGGAGAGCGUUCUAUUUGCGUCGAAGGUAUACCGGUAAGGAGUGCUGGAGCGAAUAGAAGUGAGCAUGCAGGCAUGAGUAGCGAUAAUUAAUGUGAGAAUCAUUAACGCCGUAAACCCAAGGUUUCCUACGCGAUGCUCGUCAUCGUAGGGUUAGUCGGGUCCUAAGUCGAGUCCGAAAGGGGUAGACGAUGGCAAAUUGGUUAAUAUUCCAAUACCAACAUUAGUGUGCGAUGGAAGGACGCUUAGGGCUAAGGGGGCUAGCGGAUGGAAGUGCUAGUCUAAGGUCGUAGGAGGUUAUACAGGCAAAUCCGUAUAACAAUACUCCGAGAACUGAAAGGCUUUUUGAAGUCUUCGGAUGGAUAGAAGAACCCCUGAUGCCGUCGAGCCAAGAAAAGUUUCUAAGUUUAGCUAAUGUUGCCCGUACCGUAAACCGACACAGGUGGGUGGGAUGAGUAUUCUAAGGCGCGUGGAAGAACUCUCUUUAAGGAACUCUGCAAAAUAGCACCGUAUCUUCGGUAUAAGGUGUGGUUAGCUUUGUAUUAGGAUUUACUCCGAAAGCAAGGAAACUUACAACAAAGAGUCCCUCCCGACUGUUUACCAAAAACACAGCACUCUGCUAACUCGUAAGAGGAUGUAUAGGGUGUGACGCCUGCCCGGUGCUCGAAGGUUAAUUGAUGGGGUUAGCAUUAGCGAAGCUCUUGAUCGAAGCCCGAGUAAACGGCGGCCGUAACUAUAACGGUCCUAAGGUAGCGAAAUUCCUUGUCGGUUAAAUACCGACCUGCAUGAAUGGCGUAACGAGAUGGGAGCUGUCUCAAAGAGGGAUCCAGUGAAAUUGUAGUGGAGGUGAAAAUUCCUCCUACCCGCGGCAAGACGGAAAGACCCCGUGGACCUUUACUACAGCUUGACACUGCUACUUGGAUAAGAAUGUGCAGGAUAGGUGGGAGGCUUUGAGUAUAUGACGCCAGUUGUAUAUGAGCCAUUGUUGAGAUACCACUCUUUCUUAUUUGGGUAGCUAACCAGCUUGAGUUAUCCUCAAGUGGGACAAUGUCUGGUGGGUAGUUUGACUGGGGCGGUCGCCUCCCAAAUAAUAACGGAGGCUUACAAAGGUUGGCUCAGAACGGUUGGAAAUCGUUCGUAGAGUAUAAAGGUAUAAGCCAGCUUAACUGCAAGACAUACAAGUCAAGCAGAGACGAAAGUCGGUCUUAGUGAUCCGGUGGUUCUGUGUGGAAGGGCCAUCGCUCAAAGGAUAAAAGGUACCCCGGGGAUAACAGGCUGAUCUCCCCCAAGAGCUCACAUCGACGGGGAGGUUUGGCACCUCGAUGUCGGCUCAUCGCAUCCUGGGGCUGGAGCAGGUCCCAAGGGUAUGGCUGUUCGCCAUUUAAAGCGGUACGCGAGCUGGGUUCAGAACGUCGUGAGACAGUUCGGUCCCUAUCUGCCGUGGGCGUAAGAAGAUUGAAGAGAUUUGACCCUAGUACGAGAGGACCGGGUUGAACAAACCACUGGUGUAGCUGUUGUUCUGCCAAGAGCAUCGCAGCGUAGCUAAGUUUGGAAAGGAUAAACGCUGAAAGCAUCUAAGCGUGAAGCCAACUCUAAGAUGAAUCUUCUCUAAGCUCUCUAGAAGACUACUAGUUUGAUAGGCUGGGUGUGUAAUGGAUGAAAGUCCUUUAGCUGACCAGUACUAAUAGAGCGUUUGGCUUAUCUUUAAUAAAGCAU
rnacentral:rRNA from 1 species